AUACGGAGGGUGCAAACGUUGCUCGGAAUCAUUGGGCGUAAAGCGCGUGUAGGCGGCCUGUUAAGUCGGCUGUGAAGGCCCUGGGCUCAACCCAGGAAGUGCGGUCGAUACUGGCAAGCUAGAGUACGGGAGAGGGUGGCGGAAUUCCCGGUGUAGAGGUGAAAUUCGUAGAUAUCGGGAGGAACACCAGUGGCGAAGGCGGCCACCUGGACCGAUACUGACGCUGAGACGCGAAAGCGUGGGUAGCAAACAGGAUUAGAAACCCUAGUAGUCC
rnacentral:rRNA from 1 species